UGGGGAAUUUUGGACAAUGGGGGGAAACCCUGAUCCAGCCAUCCCGCGUGUGCGAUGAAGGCCUUCGGGUUGUAAAGCACUUUUGGCAGGAAAGAAACGUCGCGGGUUAAUACCCCGCGAAACUGACGGUACCUGCAGAAUAAGCACCGGCUAACUACGUGCCAGCAGCCGCGGUAAUACGUAGGGUGCAAGCGUUAAUCGGAAUUACUGGGGCGUAAAGCGUGCGCAGGCGGUUCGGAAAGAAAGAUGUGAAAUCCCAGAGCUUAACUUUGGAACUGCAUUUUUAACUACCGGGCUAGAGUGUGUCAGAGGGAGGUGGAAUUCCGCGUGUAGCAGUGAAAUGCGUAGAUAUGCGGAGGAACACCGAUGGCGAAGGCAGCCUCCUGGGAUAACACUGACGCUCAUGCACGAAAGCGUGGGGAGCAAACAGGAUUAGAUACCCUGGUAGUCCACGCCCUAAACGAUGU
rnacentral:rRNA from 1 species